rnacentral:rRNA from 1 species
UACAGAGGGUGCAAGCGUUGUUCGGAAUCAUUGGGCGUAAAGGGCGUGUAGGCGGUUUGUUGCGUCGGGAGUGAAAACAUCCAGCUUAACUGGGUGCUUGCUUUCGAUACGGGCAGACUUGAGGUAUGCAGGGGAGAAUGGAAUUCCUGGUGUAGCGGUGAAAUGCGUAGAUAUCGAGAGGAACACCUGCGGCGAAGGCGGGUUGCUGGGCUGACACUGACGCUGAUGCGCGAAAGCUAGGGGAGCGAACGGG